CUGGCAUCUACCCAUGGACGGACCGCACCCUCCCUUGCCCACCUGAGGCACAGGCUGGCCCAGCGGCAGCCUCAGACCUCCCACUUCGCUCUCCCGAACCCAAACUGGACUUGGCUGGCUGUGCUUCCUUCCCAAUAAGAUUUUCAGACUCAGGAUCGUUUACUCCGUAGCGAGCUAACCCGGAAUGAUCUUGAAGGAGUUAUUGUCUCCGCCUUAUAGACAUGGAAGCUGCCAUCCGAGCGCCUGGAGACCUUACGCUGCGGGAGGCAGGAAGCAAUGCUCAAGAUGAGGACCAGAGCUCC